AGUAGGGACCUACGACAACAGGUCCCAGGACCACUGACCCUCUGGGUCAAGUCCACUUCUGGCCCUGCCCCACACCCAUUGGAGCUCCCCUGCUGGAGAAUUCUCCAAAGCCUCCCAAGUUACUCCCCCUGUUACUUGAGGAGGCAAAUAGGUGUGCUGAGCCAGUAAGGACCUAGGCCAUCAGGUCCUAGGACCUCUGACCCUCUGGGUCAAGUCCAUUACCGGACCCCCACCAUUGGAGCUCAGUUGCAGGAGGAGACUUCCACAAGUCUCUGAAGCUAUCCCCCCUGUUUCUUGAGGACACUCACCAGUGUGCCUGGACAGUAGGGACCUACGACAACAGGUCCCAGGACCACUGACCCUCUGGGUCAAGUCCACUUCUGGCCCUGCCCCACACCCAUUGGAGCUCCCCUGCUGGAGAAUUCUCCAAAGCCUCCCAAGUUACUCCCCCUGUUACUUGAGGAGGCAAAUAGGUGUGCUGAGCCAGUAAGGACCUAGGCCAUCAGGUCCUAGGACCUCUGACCCUCUGGGUCAAGUCCAUUACCGGACCC